GAUGAACGCUGGCGGCGUGCUUAACACAUGCAAGUCGAACGAGAAGUGGAGACGGAAACCUUCGGGCGGAAGACUUUAUUUCGAGUGGCAGACGGGUGAGUAACGCGUGGGUAACCUGCCUCAUACAGGGGGAUAACAGUUGGAAACGACUGUUAAUACCGCAUAAGACCACAGCACCGCAUGGUGCGGGGGUAAAAACUCCGGUGGUAUGAGAUGGACCCGCGUUCGAUUAGCCAGUUGGCGGGGUAACGGCCCACCAAAGCGACGAUCGAUAGCCGAUCUGAGAGGAUGACCGGCCACAUUGGGACUGAGACACGGCCCAAACUCCUACGGGAGGCAGCAGUGGGGAAUAUUGCACAAUGGGGGAAACCCUGAUGCAGCGACGCCGCGUGAGUGAAGAAGUAUUUCGGUAUGUAAAGCUCUAUCAGCAGGGAAGAAAAUGACGGUACCUGAGUAAGAAGCCCCGGCUAACUACGUG
rnacentral:rRNA from 1 species